rnacentral:rRNA from 1 species
GAUGAACGCUAGCGGCAGGCCUAACACAUGCAAGUCGAGGGAGAAGCCCUUUCGGGGGCAGAAACCGGCGCACGGGUUCGUAACGCGUAUGCAACCUACCUUUCACCGGGGGUUAGCUCGAAGAAAAUUGGAUUAAUACUCCAUUAUAUUAUUGUAUGGCAUCAUUUGAUAAUUAAAACUUCGUUGGUGAAUGAUGGGUAUGCGUCCCAUUAGCUAGUUGGAGUGGUAACGGCACCCCAAGGCUACGAUAGGUAGGGGUCCUGAGAGGGAGAUACCCUGCACUGGAACUGAGACAGAGACCAGACUGCGACGGGAGGGAGCAGAGAGGAAUACUAGGCAAUGGUCGGAAGACUGAACCAGCCGUGCAGCGUGCAGGAAGAAUGCGUUAUGGGAUGUAAACUGCUUUUAUAUGGGAAGAAUAAGGCGUACGUGUACGUUGAUGACGGUACCAUAUGAAUAAGCAUCGGCUAACUCCGUG